rnacentral:lncRNA from 1 species
CUUCCACACACCUCUUAUUGUUGUGAACACAGCUAUUGAACACUGACCAUUAACAUCCGUGUAUAAUCAAUCACAGACCACCAGAUGUGGUGUCCAUCAAUUCCUUAGAGAACUUAUUACAAUUCUCUUAAUUCACACAUAAUCUCUGCAUAUUUACACCCUGCAGGGAUCGAUCGUUUCGCUUGAGAAGUAAACCAGUGAUCCAGCUCUUGCAGUAAAUGAGGUGAUUUCUAUUUUGGUCGUCCCGUCACGAUUCUCAUGUAACAUGUCGAUUGUCAAUAAGAAUUGUAUCCAGACAUGUCUCUGCGAUCAAUAUGUUCUUGUGUUCUCACUGAUUCGUGCUGCAGUGCUGCUAAAAUUAACCGCACCUUUAUCGACGACUUCAUCUUACACUUUUCUUUGCACAUGGUCAGUCACAUGUGGAUUUAAAUGUGGGCUAACUCUAUGUAGCGCCUGUGACAGCAUCCCUAAGGCACAGAGGAAGUGUCAAAGCACACUGCACUUACACUCUCAUACAACACCCCUGCUUAAAAACACACGCAAACCCAAAGUAUGAUUGCUAAACACAAAAAUAACUCUCUCAUAAAAAGCCUGAUGGAUGAAAUAUUGAAGUGUUAUGGUUAGAGGAUUGAAAAAUUAUUAUUAAGAUACACAGCCUGUAGUUAAUAGCAAUGUUGGAGCAAUUAAAUCAUCAUUACAAUUAUGGAUCAUGAAUAAGUAAUAACUGAACAGCUUUUGCAGCCACUCUUAACGACAUUAGCGCUCAUGCAGUAAAGUAUUCAUACAGUACAUUCAUGUUAAUGUGGUGGUGGUUGCCUCUGCCCUCAGCACAUGCAUUAAAACAGCAGUUAAAGCUUAAUAUGAAUCUGACACGUUUGAUUAUUUAGAAACGACAUGCCUGAAAAAGUGAUGCACCGUAUUUCAUUUUUUCUCCUUUCUGGGUGCAGAAAAGCAGGAAUCGGUUGCAGAGAGGAGAUAAGAGGACAGAGGCAGAGAGAGCAACAGGGUCUGAGGUGAGUGCAAUGAUGAAGUGUGCUAUAUUUAAGCUGAUAUGUUUUUAACAUCUUCUCAUGGAAUACCACAUGACUUUGAAAAGUAGCUUUUAACACACGAGUGCCACUCUACCUGCAGGGCUGCAGCACGCUGUAAAACGAGUGCUGCAGCCUGUAAUAAUGUGAAAAAGUUUUAUUUUUUUUUUAGCUCUCUUCUUGACAUAUCAGCACUGAAUAUGCCUUUAUUUUCAGAGAUUUCUCCUGUUUGUGUUUCACCCCAGAGGACAUCAUGACGUAAGUGAAUUGUGUAAGACUCUAAAAAAGAAAAAGAGAAAAUGAACCCUUUGAUUAAUUUAAGGAGAGAUGCCCAAAUUCCUGGUUGCUUUUGCUUUGAAUAAGGGUAAGUAUUGUCAGUCACGGGGCUGAGUGGACUCUAUAAAUGCUGAUAAGUGGUCAUGUCGUUGAUGUGGCCCAUUAGCUGUGUAUAAGAACGCAUGUAUCUAUCUAUCUAUCCUGCACUCUCCACAGCUCAUGCAUUCUUUAUUUUUAGAGCAUUUCAUAAUUUAUCCAAAGAGGAUGAUGUCUUUUACAAGGUUAUCUGACUUGGGCUUACUCAGAGCACUGACGUCAUUAUUAUUUAUUCAUCCAUUUUUGGAACAAAUACUGAGCGUCACACUCUGAUAACCACUCUGAGUUUAUUUAUGGUGCAGAUUCUACAUUUGUUAUUCUGUUCGGCAGAUAUACAUCUAUUAUAUGUUGAGUUAUCCUGAAGAAUUCAGCUCUUCUGUUGUGCUUUCUUUCUCAUACCAUAUAUUAAGAAAGCCUGUGUGUGCAUGAACCAGAUCACAACAAAAAAGGGAAGUUUUGCUUUGUUGUGUGAAUCUGACUCUCUUAAAUGUAUCCCUCCUUUCAUUUUAAGCAUAGAUUAUGGUUUCUUAGGCAGCAUCCUAGCCAUUUUGUUUCUACAUGCCAACUUUGUGUUAUCUUUCAGAGUUCAGAUUGUGAACUUUUGGAGUCACAUUGUUUCACCAGCUUUGGUUUGAUUCUGAUGGAUCUGUGUGGUACAAAGAUUAAAGAAAUAAAUGUGUUUAAGAGAAAGACAACAUAGUGAUCUCUUGAUGUGCAAAAAAACAAGUUCUGUCUUACAGGCAUCAGUUAGGGAAGAUUAAUGCUUUUCAAAAACCUCCACAGCAGAUUAGAAUUGAUGGAGAGUGUUCACAAAAUACUGCAAUAAAUUUCCCAUCUCAACAGCCAUUAUCAUGUUUUCUCCUCAGAUAAUAGGUCUGAAAAAGUGGACCUGAGGUGACAACAAACACCCUGUAAAGCCAAUCUAUCACUCAUUGCUGCACCUGUUUGCAUUAGUUUGUUGGCAGGUAUUUCUGUGUGUAUGCAGCAACACCAGGAUGAUGCUGCUGAAACUUUAGGAUUUCAAGUUGUCUUAAAAUGCUGCCACCGCAUUUGUUAAUUGUGCUUGUUCCUCUGUGUGCGGACGUCAGAUGACUUGGAUUCUUAAUCCGGUUAAAUGACAUACUUGAAAAUGAUGGCGUCAACGUGGAACAUUCAGAGAAUUUUAGCUUUACCUUUUGGAAAGCUGGUGUUUAUUGAAGGCUGAUUAAAGUGUGUGUUUUUAGGUCAAACAUGAGACUCUCAGAGGGUGUUACAGAAAAUUGGGGUAGUGCUAAACUGGAAAAAAAGAAAAAGUUGAAGCUUUAUGUGGGGCAGAAACAAGAUCGAAGCAGUCUGGAAGGUUUUCUCUCACUUUUGAACUUCCUGAUGGCUGAUACCAACACGAUUACCAAUAUAGCCAUCUAUGUUUGUAUUUUGAAAUGUGUAGUUUAGGCACACCUUGCCAAUUCUAAGCUCUGAGUUGUUUCUGAUGUUAUUAGACAUAUCUUCACAUAUAUCGUCAAAGCAAUGGCAACUUUUGAGCUUGUUUAAAACUUGUGGCUAAAGCUGUGCACACUGAAUUGAUGUAACUCUUAAAAGUCAGCAACAGAAUUACUGGACUACUACUCUCUUCCAGCAGCCGCUUAGCAUCCCAGUCUGAUUGCAUUUCCUUGAAGAAAUGAUCAUAAAUGUUCUUCCUUGAGCUGCGUCACCCCGUUGUAGUCGUUGUAGUGUAAUGGACUGGUCCGAGGUCUCGCUACAAAGAGUGGGUAAGUUGUGUUUAGUCUCUUUGCUUAAGAAAUCAGGCAAAGCUAAAAAGAAUUUUGGUGGCUAGUGCUAUGGCUGGGACCCCAUAUGUACCAUUGAUGAAGUUAGGUGCUGUUCUGAGCAUUAUUUGUGGCUAUAGAGUGGCUUUUUGGUUGAGCACGUGGCUCUCUGUAUUGCUAUCUGUGGUCAUUACUAAAGUUGGUAUAACUCAAGAAUCAAGCGGUCGGCAACAUUCAUCUCUCAAGGGGAUGUCUAACUUGGUGUUAUGGUGCGUGUGACCCUAAAUUAAUUUUACGUCGGAAUAUCCCUUUGAGUACAUUGUGCUAAGUUUUGACUGUUUAUUGUAUUUUUCAUUCUGUUCAAGCAGAAUUUAAAUUUCUAUUUAAUCAAUCAGGAAAUAAAAAGAAAUUAGUUGAUUUCAGUCCAAUGAGAUAUAAAUUGUUACUUCGUUCACUUGAGGCUGGUGAAGUAACAUCUUAGCUUUGACAAAAAUGGAUGAAUAAUCACACUUACAAGAAAAAAAAAUGAGAGACCUUGUUUAAAUUUGGUCUCAAAGGGAACUCGCUGACAGCAGAGCUAAAGGAUCCUCAGUGCAGAAAUAUUUUUCUCCUGACGGCACACUCGCAACCUCUGGAGCACAUGAAGGAUAUAACUGGAACAUACUGUUUAAAGGCUACUGGCAAGAAGCUAAUUUUACUGUAUGGUGUAUAUCUCCCACCUAUCAACCCCCCCACCCCCACAAACAAACACACACACACACACACACACACACAUACCAACAUCCUUAGGGAGUCAGGUCUAAGUUUGGUCGCUGCUAAGUCUUGCCAGGUAACCCUAUACCCCUCAUUGUCCCCGGGACGCCGCCUCUUCACAUAUGACAUUUGAAGAAGGAUGGUGCUACAAGAUUGUGUGUGUAUGUGUGUGUGUCUGGUUCAUACAUGUAUUUAACAAGAUGUGUGGACUAAUGCAUGAAUGUGAGCUUUGAUCUGUGCGAGUGCUAAUUGAAACUCGCUGUACUUAGCGAGUGCGAAGCUAAACAUGCAGAAAGGUGUGAGGUGUUUAAUGCUGGGGGCUUCAGGAAGUGAAUCACAGGGAUGAAGGUACCUCAUGCUGAACUCUGGGGUUGGUGGGGGAAGGAAGGGCGACACGGUCGGCUGCUGCAGGGAGGGUGACAUUUGUCCAAAAUAACCAUUGUGCUACAUCUCCGCUAUUGGGGGGGUUUAGCCAGGUGAAGCCCCCUCAGAUCUGCCCCGGUCGACCGAAGGCACAAAGGUCAAAUCAGCAGUUGUUAGACUGAAUGUUCGAGGUCGGCCAAAGGUCCUGUGAGUGUUUAAACAAUGUACUCAAACAAAACAUUUCAGCAAUGCAAACAGAGCUUCACUUCGAAAACACACAUGAUAUAAUUCUAUGCUAAUUCAAGCAAACGGGCCAUUAGACGGAGAGACCUCUGAGGGCUCGAAUUUGGCUGCUUUGUCUCCUUGUAUUAUGAUAGUAUCUGUUUGCCUGCUUGGCAUUAUGAGAAUGGUGAAGUUUAUGUAAACACACCUCUGCUGACCUCUCAGCCGUGAUGCCAAAAUGAAUAAACAUGAAAGCUGGGUAACAACAAAAGGCCACUUUUUUUUUUUUUUUUUUUGCUCUGCACGUUACAUCAUCUUCCUCUGUGUCCUCCAAAGCCAGCUCAACUUUUCCUGCUUGUGUCGGAUCGUUUCCAUCACUGAUCCUUCUUUGACUUUUCACUUUCUUUUUUUUUAACCGAAUUACUUCUCUGUUAUCUCAGCUUUGAGACAAACAACACCAUGCUCUGUUGGCUCCAUAUAAUCUUUCCUCAUAGUGUUUGAUUAAAGCUAAUUAACAAAAUAGAUGCAUAAUAAAUAGCUGGCAUUUUGCAUUAAUUAAGCCUGGAGAAUGUAAAAACUAUUAGAAAGAAUUCACCUCACAGGCUUAAGCUCAUUAUGUCGGCUUAGUUAUAAUCAGUGUAUCAUAUUUGUUUGUGUGCUCCCAUAACGACUUAUGGCUUUACGCAGAAUCUGCACACACAGGAUUUUCUGGCAUUACGUACGUAAUUAGAGAUGUGUAUAACGCCACAGAAGUGCGUAAGGUCAAUCUAAGGGAAGUCAUCAACAAUUUAAUUGGCAGCACUUUAUAAAAGUCACAUUUUUGAGUCCCAGAGGAACACUUAAUAACCAGGAAAGCUUUUUUUAACCAUAGUAGUAUUAAACAAGGUUUUUCUUUUUGGAUGAAUACUGGUUGCAAAAAUAAUGAGUGGAAACUGUGUACCCAUUGAUCCACAGUUUGAUAACCAGAGAACUAGAAAACUGGACUGCCCAUAUUAUAGCUGAAAGUGGAAUUUAGCAAUUCAGAAAUUCGGUGGCCUUUUUUCGCAGAUUGUGAUUUGUGAUUUUUUAGUAAUAUUUUAUCUCCGAAAUGGCAAAACAAUCAGACUGAUGCAAUAGCGUGGCUUAGGACAGAUUUAGAAUGACAUUUUUUCAUAUUUCAAAGUCCCUGUAAGAGCUAUUUAACUAGUUGUGAAACAGUCUGAAAUAAAAAAAAAACUGACAUAUCUUUAAAAGUUACAAAAGCAACCAGGACCAUCAGCAUGAAACCUUGAAACUAUUGCCAUAGCAAUGCUCACUUGUUGUAUCCAUGUGCUUGGGUGACUAACUCAUUUGAUAUUUCCCAUGUAGAUGUUAUCUUACUGUGUUUCUUUUUUUUUUUUUUAAUAUUCAUGAAUUUAAGAGCUGUCGUUUACUGUUUUUUUGCUAGCAUUUGCAGAGGGAACUAGAAAAGCACUCGGAGAGCGCAGACCUCCGCCAAGCAGAGC